AUGAUGAACCUCGUGGAGUGUGAGCCAACUAUAAAAGGGGACCCCUGGGUCUCAUUUGUAAUUUUCCCAAGUUUUCUCCUUCAAUUUCUCUUGCUCGCGCAUGAAGAUUUCCUCCUAACUUUUCCAGAUUUCGUUCAAGAAUUCUUCAUCCAAGUACGAGCGGAAGGGGCCCCUGCCAAUUGGAUCCUUCAAAUUCCCCACCGCAACCGGAGAAUAUUCUCAAGCACUGAUGACUGA